AUGAACCGCUUUAUAGCAUUGCAGGCUACAAAGAGAAACUUACUUCGAGGUGCGGCAGGUGGCAAUCCGUUUGGAAACUCGAUUUGAGUAGCGGCAGAAGCAGAAUCCCUACCAGAACGUAUCGCACGUUGACGUGACGUGAGAGUUGUUUCCCUUUUAGCUACAUUUUGAGAAUCGGGAGAAUCGCUUCGAGGUUUCUUUCCCUUGUUCCCUUCGUUCUCAUUAUCAGAUACCAGAUCUUCCUCCUCGUAAUCUGUGUCAACAGAACCACUAUCUCUCCCUGACGUUAAUGGGCUCGGGUCGUCUUUAAUAACUCUAGAAAGACUCCUGUGUUUCUUACUCGAAUCAUCAUCGUAAUCUCUACUUCUAACGCUUCUCAGUUUUUCAAGAUACCGUAUCUCAUCGUCAUCUUCGUCAACAAAAUCACCAUCUAAAACACGUUUUUUCGGUACCCUUUUGCUCUUUCUCGUGCUGUCGGUUUUUUCGGUACCCGUUGAAGCGUUUUCUCUCCCGAGGGUAAAACCGACCCUAGAGAAAUCCUUCCAAGGAAUCCCUUGUAACCCGAUCUUUUUAUCUAAAGACGGAGAAUCGUCUUCAUCAGAAUUGUCCUGAAAUUAAUCAACUUUGGCCGAGCACGAGUCACAUCCAAAGAUCCUGAAUUCUUCGAAGUUGCGGAAUUAAACUUGGGUUGAAUAGUCCUAGUCACACCACCUAACUUCAGUUUGACUUUUUUUAAUUUAUUUUCAUUUGCAUCUAUCGAGCCACCAUUGCUAUGCGAUUCAUUAUUAUAUCUCUUACUUGAGUAAUCACUUUCUGAUCUUGUAACACAUUGAUUAAGAUUGUAUACUUUUCUCUUAGGAUUAGCAUCAACGGCAUUCUCAUCACUUGAUAUCUUUCCGGCUUCAUCUGACGGUGGUGUUGAUGAUAAGGAUGAUUGAUCAUGGUUUUCGGGUAAUGCCGGAACUUCGGGUUUCGGUCUUCUGCUGGUUUGGGUCCUCUUUCGUUUAAAGGUGUUACCAGUGCCUUCGAGUCGAGGACCUCCAAACUCAUCCAUGUUGGCUCGCUUUUUAGCCAAUAAUUAGAUAGUGGCAGAAAAUCGCAACGUAAACAAACAGUCCUGCAGAAAUAUACUGAACGACGCACAGAGAAAGUGGUGAUCGAAUGAAACAAAGGGAUGGAAUAAUGGAUGGUGGAUUGAAUAAUAUAAAAGGGGAAAAAGAGAGUAAGGUGAAAUUAGGGUUUGAGUAAUUGGGGGUGGGGGUGAAGGUGGGUAUAAUGGGAAAGAGAAGGGGU
rnacentral:lncRNA from 1 species